rnacentral:lncRNA from 1 species
GCCGCGGGCGGCGGGCGCGGGCCUGCGCGGCCGGCCGGGGCCCCGGGCUCUCCUGCCUCCUCCGCCGCCGAGGCGCGGGGCUUCUUCCGCGGGGGCGGGGAGGCUCCGCCGGCGUCCGAGUCGGAGGAGGAGGAAGCGGAGGCCAGAGUUUCCUCGCCGAGAGAGGCCGUGGUGGGCGGCCGGCGGGGCGCGGCGCGGGUCGGGCGGGCGCGGGCCGGGGCGCGCGAGGCGCGGGCAGCGGCCGCCUGUGUGCUCCGGUCGCCGCGCCGCUCCGGUGUUGAUUCCUCCCCAGCUGCUGCCUAAUGGAGUCCGGCGCGCGCGUCACCGGAAAUGCCUGCACUGCGCUCGCCCACUUCCGGCGGCAGGUGCGGCGCUGUCAGCGUGUGCGGCCGCCCUGUCCUCCCCGCGGGCCCCGGCUUCGCCCGGCCCGGGUUCUGGUGGGUCCCUGCCCGGCCCUGCCCGGCCGUCUCCCGGUUCCGGCCCGCCCUGGGUCCGGCCCGGCCCGACCCCGAGGGGCACGCCCGCUCCUGGUUCCGGCCCGCGCAGGUUCCGCCCGAGGCCGGGUCGCCCGCGGGUCCGCCCGGAGAUGAGGCCGCGGCCUGCGUGGGUCCGGGCCGCCCGGGGUCGCGGCUCGCGGACCCCGACCCGCGUCGGCAGCCACGGCCUGUUCCGACCUGGCCUCGAAACUUCGGGCGACCUGUGACCGACUUGGGGUCUCGCCCAGGCCGAGUUCCAGCCUGUGCUCCUCCUGCCUCAGCCUCCGAGAAUGCUUCAGUUAUAGGCAUGCUCCGCUGGUCCAGGCUGAAGAAGUCUUUCUCUAGUUUCCCUAUGGAAAAAACAUUCCAGUAG